UACGUAGGGUGCGAGCGUUAAUCGGAUUUACUGGGCGUAAAGCGUGCGCAGGCGGCCCGUUAAGACAGGUGUGAAAUCCCUGGGCUCAACCGAGGAAUUGCGCUUGUGACUGGCGGGCUAGAGUGCGGUAGAGGGGGGUGGAAUUCCUGGUGUAGCAGUGAAAUGCGUAGAGAUCAGGAGGAACACCGAUGGCGAAGGCAGCUCCCUGGGCCUGUACUGACGCUCAUGCACGAAAGCGUGGGGAGCAAACAGG
rnacentral:rRNA from 1 species